rnacentral:rRNA from 1 species
UACGGGGGGGGCAAGCGUUGUUCGGAAUUACUGGGCGUAAAGGGCUCGUAGGUGGCCAACUAAGUCAGACGUGAAAUCCCUCGGCUUAACCCGGGAACUGCGUCCGAUACUGGCAGGCUUGAAUCCGGGAGAGGGAUGCGGAAUUCCAGGUGUAGCGGUGAAAUGCGUAGAUAUCUGGAGGAACACCGGUGGCGAAGGCGGCAUCCUGGACCGGCAUUGACGCUGAGGCGCGAAAGCCAGGGGAGCAAACGGG